UACGUAGGUCCCGAGCGUUGUCCGGAUUUAUUGGGCGUAAAGCGAGCGCAGGUGGUUUAUUAAGUCUGGUGUAAAAGGCAGUGGCUCAACCAUUGUAUGCAUUGGAAACUGGUAGACUUGAUUGCAGGAGAGGAGAGUGGAAUUCCAUGUGUAGCGGUGAAAUGCGUAGAUAUAUGGAGGAACACCGGUGGCGAAAGCGGCUCUCUGGCCUGUAACUGACACUGAGGCUCGAAAGCGUGGGGAGCAAACAGG
rnacentral:rRNA from 1 species